ACCUGGAAGUGGUUGUUACAUCUCCAUACUAAAUAUUAUACAAGGGAAUGAUAUU
rnacentral:sRNA from 1 species